rnacentral:rRNA from 1 species
UACGUAGGGGGCGAGCGUUGUCCGGAGUUACUGGGCGUAAAGGGCAUGCAGGCGGUCGGACGCGUUUCGGGUGACAGCGGGUGGCUUAACUACCCGAGUGGUCGAAAGACGGUUUGACUUGAGGACGCGAGAGGGACACGGAAUUCCGGGUGGAGUGGUGAAAUGCGUAGAUAUCUGGAGGAACACCGGUGGCGAAGGCGGCAUCCUGGACCGGCAUUGACGCUGAGGCGCGAAAGCCAGGGGAGCAAAGCGGG